UGGUUCUGGCAUCGAUGAAGAACGCAGCGAAAUGCGAUAAGUAAUGUGAAUUGCAGAAUUCAGCGAAUCAUCGAAUCUUUGAACGCACAUUGCGCCCGUUAGUAUUCUAGCAGGCAUGCCUGUUCGAGCGUCAUUUCAACCCUCAGGCCCGGCCUGGUGAUGGGGACCGCCGUGGCGGCCCCGAAAGUUAGCGGCAGGCUCCGCCGUACCCGAGCGCAGUAGUGUUCUCGCUUAGGGGAAGGCGGCGUCUUGCCUUUUAUUUUUUUUUACUCAUGGUUGACCUCGGAUCAGGUAGGAAUACCCGCUGA
rnacentral:misc_RNA from 1 species